CAGCCGCCACGGUAAUACGUAGGGUGCAAGCGUUAAUCGGAAUUACUGGGCGUAAAGCGUGCGCAGGCGGUUAUAUAAGACAGAUGUGAAAUCCCCGGGCUCAACCUGGGAACUGCAUUUGUGACUGUAUAGCUAGAGUACGGCAGAGGGGGAUGGAAUUCCGCGUGUAGCAGUGAAAUGCGUAGAUAUGCGGAGGAACACCGAUGGCGAAGGCAAUCCCCUGGGCCUGUACUGACGCUCAUGCACGAAAGCGUGGGGAGCAAACAGGAUUAGAGACCCCAGUAGUCCCUGUCUCUUAUAC
rnacentral:rRNA from 1 species